rnacentral:tRNA from 1 species
GGAGCUGUAUUAUAAGUUUUUAGUAUGGAGCAUUGUCAUUGUUUUGGUUUAGGCUCUU